CGGGGUCUUUUGGGACCGCGACGGUGGCCGACCGGCCGUCGGACGGUAGUUCUGACGAAACGCGCACGCGUUUAUAACGCGUCCGGCCCGACGCAAGUCAACGUCGUAUCUUGCGUACCGCCUAAGCGCGGACGUGAGUGCGGCGCGUCUGUUGUUGCCGCCGUGUCAGUCUCGGACUGUGCGCGUCUCUGUCUGCGAUGAUUCAGUUUCGGGCACUCGCAGGACCCGUCUUGAAACACGGACCAAGGAGUCUAGCAUGUAUGCGAGUCAUUGAGAUAAUAAAACUGAAAGGCGUAACGAAAGUGAAGGCGCGCGCUCGCCGCGCGCUCAGGGAGGAUGGAGCGUCGAUCUAGGUCGAUCUCUCGCACUCCCGAGGCGUCUCGUUUCCAAUCCGUGAAUGUAGGCGCGCUCUGAGCAUAAAUGCUGGGACCCGAAAGAUG
rnacentral:rRNA from 1 species